rnacentral:rRNA from 1 species
AUUGAACGCUGGCGGCAGGCCUAACACAUGCAAGUCGAGCGGAGCGGCGGACGGGUGAGUAAUGCCUAGGAAUCUGCCUGGUAGUGGGGGAUAACGUCCGGAAACGGGCGCUAAUACCGCAUACUAUCAGAUGAGCCUAGGUCGGAUAAGCUAGUUGGUGGGGUAAAGGCCUACCAAGGCGACGAUCCGUAACUGGUCUGAGAGGAUGAUCAGUAACACGGGAACUGGACCACGGUCCGGACUCCAACGGGAGGCAGCGGUGGGAAAUAUUGGACAAUGGGCGAAGGCCUACUCCGUCCAUGCCGCGUAUGUAAGGAAGGUCUUCGGAUUGUAAAGCCCUUUAAGUUGGGAGGCGUUAACAACAGAGUAAGCACCGGCUAACUUCGUGCCAGCAGCCGCGGUAAUUC